GCCCAUGUGGUUCAGUGGAUAGAGUGUCAUCCUUUGGAAUGAAGGGUCCUGGGUUCAAUUCCCUUCAUUGGCA
rnacentral:tRNA from 1 species